rnacentral:rRNA from 1 species
CUACGGGCGGCAGCAGUGGGGAAUCUUGCGCAAUGGGCGAAAGCCUGACGCAGCAACGCCGCGUGCGGGAUGAAGGCCUUCGGGCUGUAAACCGCUUUCAGCAGGAACGAAAAUGACGGUACCUGCAGAAGAAGGAGCGGCCAACUACGUGCCAGCAGCCGCGGCGACACGUAGGCUCCAAGCGUUGUCCGGAUUUAUUGGGCGUAAAGAGCUCGUAGGCGGUUGAGUAAGUCGGGUGUGAAAACUCUGGGCUUAACCCGGAGACGCCAUCCGAUACUGCUCUGACUAGAGUUCAGGAGGGGAGUGGGGAAUUCCUAGUGUAGCGGUGAAAUGCGCAGAUAUUAGGAGGAACACCGGUGGCGAAGGCGCCACUCUGGACUGAAACUGACGCUGAGGAGCGAAAGCAUGGGUAGCAAACAGGAUUAGAUACCCUCGUAGUC